GGUCUCACUGUGUAGCCCAGGCUGGCCUUGAACUCACAGUGAUCAUACUGCCUCGGCCUCUUGAGUGCUGGGAU
ensembl:miRNA